ensembl:lncRNA
CUCAAAUUAAAGCUAAUGAAUAGCCACAAUACUGUCUCAAAAGGGUUGAAAACACCUGUUCCAACAGCUGAGGCCAAUUGCUCAUUGACUAUAUAAAGUGUGGGUACUCCCUACUAUUAUCCUGCUGCUUUGCAAUAGGUACAGUCCGUUGGGGAGUAACUGCUGUCCUGGGUCGUUGGAGAGCAUAACUAGCCAGGUUUUUCUCUUAACCUGCUCCUGGAAACCCUUUCUAACCGCAUAUUUUGUUCUUAAUUCUUUUCUGCUGACUUCAGUUAACUGCGAAUUUCCCAUCGGUUGUUUUUUGUUUUUGUUUGUUCAUGUCUUUACUGUUCUAGUGGGGCUUGAUUUUCUUCUUUGUAGAGUACUGAAGUUACUUAGCAAAUGAGCGUACGCUGGUUUUCUUGGUUGUGGGGAUUACUCGUGAUCGCACGCUAACAGGUUUCCACCUUAGUCCAUUGCUUGUGAUCAGGCAAGUUCACUUGUGAUGAGGCAAUUGGUAACCAUCUUGCGUAGUGACCUGGGUGUAGUCAAAUCUACUGUCUUUGGUGGUAGGUGUACAAAUUACCACCAGUGGUCCGCUGUGCCUAUGGGGUGACAUUUUAGUCUGCCCUGGGAACUAGUUUGUAAAGCCUCCUGUGAAACUGGCUCUUAGGGCUUUGGGGUUGAAAUGCUGAGGCCUGAUAUAGGUCAACGUUGAUUCAGGGACUAUGGUUGUAGAUCACAAUCUUGCAGUAUAUCCUAUGUUUCUAGUAUUAAUGGUACCUAUGAGAUGUAGUUAACUGAUAUUUUGCUAUAUGAGGAGGAAUACAUUUAUUUCAGUGAUUACCUGCCGAGCUAUGUUAUAAUGUUGAUUGUGCUACAGUAAUGGUAGUACAAUAUCUUUCUUUAUCAUGAUAGAAUUUUUACUGUAAUGUGUUUUACCAGGCUAAGCGUGCUGCAAGGGACCAAAGAGGCCAGUAGUGGACCAAAACAGAUAGCACUUCUCCCUUGGUUCCUCCUUGAACCCUGGCCAGGUUUUGGGAGAAAACCAACAGGAGACAGAGGAAACCAGAUGUUCCGCCUGACUGUUUCAUAGAUUGGUUUGUUUAGUGACACAAAAGCUGGACCUGCUUGCAGCGACUAUGGAGACCUCGACUACGGGGUGGACGCACUGCCGUAGGCCUUCCCAGUUGCCGGGACGGGUUCUCCAGAUCCUCGCUGCAACCAGGGCUCCCCAGCAGCUGCGGAUCUGGAUGGUGGUCAAAGUAGUAGAGUAGUGAUUGAUAAGUAGACUCAAAGUUAAAGAAUUGUUCAGGUUGGACAAGACCUUCAAGAUCAAGUCCAACCACAACUGAACCAUGCAACCCUAACUCUAGCAACCCACUGCUCGAUGAUGUCCUUGAGCACCAUGUCUAGAUUGUUUUUAAACACAUCCCUGUACCUUUCUUAAUCAGUAUUGCUAACUUACAUAGAGUGAUUAAAUGCUUUACUUUGCUUAUUUUCUUUAUCAUUUCUCUAUCUUUUGGCUAUAGGCACUGCUCUAUAUUUGCAUCGUUUUGAAAUGCAGGGUAAAAUAUGCUUAUUUCUUCAGUUGGUGUCUGUAUACUUCCUGUUAACCCUGUCAGUUGGCAAAGCUUCUGGUGUCAUAUAGCAGAUUUGAACAAAAUGUCACUGUUUAAAUUUAAGCAGAAUGUCUUUGCUCCAUCUGAGCUUCCUAGAUGUGAGCGGGUUCCAUUUAGUUCACUGGUUCUUGAGCGGACAAAGGUUGGAGAGUUGUUUAAACAGUGUGCAAGUGAGUUGAAAGAAGCCAAACUGCUGAACAUAAUUCAACUGUGUCCAAAAAAAAAAAAAAAAACACAGAUGAUUGAUAAUGGAGAAGUAACCGGGGGCUUGGGAGGGCAAAGAUGGAUCUUGUUAGCAGCCUGUUGGAACCAGAACCAACAAAAAGAGCAAUUGUUGCCAAGUUUUUCUCACAUAGAGGUAACAAGUGUGUGAUUUGCAGAAUUAGAUUGUGAUGUUGCAGUGCCGAAAUAAGUUGUUUGUUGAUAAGCUGGGUCUUUUUCAGAAUGGAGGUGAGAGGGGUGCUGUUGGCGUUGUGCAAUAUGAGAAGAGAACAAAUGAAUCUUAAGGAAGUGCGUUUAGCAAUUGCAGAAGCAGGUAUGCCGUGGGAUCCUGAUAAAUGAGAUGGGGAUGGUUGGGAUUUGGUGUGUUCUGUAGAGUCUGGUUCCUCAGAUUGAGUUUUGAGUGUAAAACCAUUGUGGAGAAAGAGUUGAAUUUGAUGCUGCUGGGCAGCCAGUGAGGAAGGAUGUGGUAGAGCCUUGUACUUGGUAUGAACUAAAUUAGAUAAUGGAGCAGUUUAAAGGCUAGGGGAACCUCGGAUUUUUGUGGGUGGUGUGUUUGUAUGACCAGGGAGUACUCUGUAUCACUUUAAAUGUAGGAGAUGCUAAAAGGGUUUUUAUCUUGCACAAAGGUGUCCAGGCUAACAUUUGAAGUAAUGACAGGGACAAUAGUUAGUUAACCAUGGCCACUCAAGGACAUAAUGCGAAGUACUCUACAGAAAAUGACUAGUAAUGAAUCAAGGAGGAAGGGAUGAAAUGGGCCUUGUUUUCCUGGGCGAUGCUGGCACUUUGAUCAGAACACUUGGUUGGUUGCAGCGAGGAAUGGAGUGAUAAAAAUUGCCCCACCAGUGUAUAUGAAUGUGAUCAUGACUUUCAGUCAAUGAAACUAGGAACACCCAUAGUGAAGUCACUUAAAAAAGUAAAUAAAAGAAAAAGAAAAAAAGAAACCCAGAAAUUAGUGCUCUUGGGGUAUGGGACCCCUGUGGAAGUGCAGGAAACCGAGGUACCCACAGCCCUUUUAGGGAACGUGAAAGCUGGUUUUCUCUUAGUGAAAUGCUUACAGCUUUGCUGAAAAACAGUUCGUCUUAAGAUGAGACUGUUGGCGUACUGAUCCAGGACUCGCAGAGACUUGAUAAACAAGGGGUUGAACAAACCUAACAGGCAAGUGCAAAAUUUUAAAGCAGCAGUUCUAGAAGCAACUCGGUCUUCAGCACCUCCUCUGAAGCCUCGACGGGACUUUACAUCUGCUCAUGGAGGGCCCCCUGUGAGUGGAUCGACUGUUCCGGGGGAACAGGAGGAUUGGGAGCUGUUUUCUGACUUGCAUCCUUGGAAAGUAACUGGGGAAGUAGUUCAGCAUGAACAGACUGAAACUAUGGUCCACCUCCGGUGCAAUGGGUAUGGAAGGCCCUUUGACGCCUUGUGGCGCUUAGAAUAAUUUGGAGAAACUGGUCCUCCUGAAUUCUAAAAUCCUUCAUUUCCACUGGAUUUGA